rnacentral:tRNA from 1 species
GGGCCCGUAGCUCAAUGGCAGAGCAACCGGCUCAUAACCGGGAGGGUUCAGGUUCGAGUCCUGACGGGCCCA